AAAUUGAAGAGUUUGAUCAUGGCUCAGAUUGAACGCUGGCGGCAGGCCUAACACAUGCAAGUCGAACGGUAACAGGAAACAGCUUGCUGUUUCGCUGACGAGUGGCGGACGGGUGAGUAAUGUCUGGGAAACUGCCUGAUGGAGGGGGAUAACUACUGGAAACGGUAGCUAAUACCGCAUAACGUCGCAAGACCAAAGAGGGGGACCUUCGGGCCUCUUACCAUCGGAUGUGCCCAGAUGGGAUUAGCUAGUAGGUGGGGUAACGGCUCACCUAGGCGACGAUC
rnacentral:rRNA from 1 species